UAAUAGGUCUGUGAUGCCCUUAGAUGUCC
rnacentral:sRNA from 1 species